AUGGAAGAAGAAAUUGAUGAAACUGUGAGCUCAUUGGAUGAAAAAGAUGAUGAGGAGAGCAAAGAACAAAAGGAGGAAGAGCGGAUUAGCUACCCGUGCCCACCUUCUAAUAAGAGUAACUCUUCAACUCAUACAUUGUUUAAAUUCCCUUCGUGCUUACCGAAGGAUGAUUGCUAUGAUGACUGUUAUGAUCCCGUUGAUUCUUUUGAAAUAUCCCUUUUUGAUGAUGCUUGCUAUGCUUGUGGCCAAGAUACCAAUAUGAAGUAUGCUUAUGGAGAUGAACUUUCUAUAGUUCCUUAUGUUAAACAUGAAAUUGUUGCUAUUGCACCCACACAUGAUAGUCCUAUUAUCCUUUUGAAUUCUCUCGACUGCACUAUAUCGGAGAAGUUUGCACUUAUUAAGGAUUAUAUUGAUGGGUUGUGUUUUAAUAUUACACAUAAUAAUUUUGAUGAAUAUAAUAUGCAUGUGCUUUCUGCUCCUACUUGCAAUUAUUAUGAGAGAGGAACUAUAUCUCCACCUCUCUAUGUUUCCAAUACGAUAAAAUUGCAAGAAAUUGUUUAUACUAUGCAUUGGCCUUUACUAUGUGUGCAUGAAUUGUUCUUUUAUGACAUGCCGAUUCAUAGGAAGAGAGUUAGACUUCGGCAUUGCUUGAUAUAUGUUACUUUGUGA
rnacentral:rRNA from 1 species